rnacentral:lncRNA from 1 species
AGCCCCGCCCCGGGCGCCAAGAUGGCCGCCAGGGCCCCCUGCAAGACGAGCAGCAGCGCCGCGUUCAGCAGGAACAGCAGGAAGUGCGGCGUGGAGGCCGUGGGCCCACUUCCGGCGCACGCCGCCCCGCUUCCGGUCUGGGGGAGGAGGCUUCCGGUGCGCGACGCUCCACUUCCGGUGGCGGCCGGGCCGCUUCCCGUCCAGAGCGAUUCAGCGCGGGAUCUCAAGGCGCCGCUUCCGGUCUCCGCCGCUCGGCUUCCGGUUCCCGCCCACCACGUUCCCCAGCCCGCCGUGAGCUCGGCCGCGCUUUUCCCGCGGGUUUCCAUCACCCCGCUUCCGGUUCCCAGCCUCCGACUUCCGCUCCAUUCCGCCCCGCCGCCAUCUUGAACAGCGCCGCCCCUCCCCGCGCCGCCAUCUUCCCCACCCUUCCCGCGGCCAUCGCGGCGGCGCCCAGCGCGGUUCCGAGAAGCCUCCACCCGGCUCCGGGCGCCGCCAUCUUGUCCGCCGGAAGCGCGUCGCCGCCGGAAGUCCUCGAGUCGUCGCCGGAAGAAGUCCCCGCGUCGCUUCCGGCGAGCCGAGGAUGGAGGAGGCGGCCGAGCGGCCCCAGCUCCUCCCCCAACGCCAGGCCGCACAGCACCAGGGCGAAAGUGUGGGGCGAAGGGCUCAGCCCCACGGCGGAGCGGACGGAGGCGAAGAGGGGCGGGGCGGCGGCCGCCAUCAGGGCGGAAGCGACGGCCAAGCGGGCGGCGGCGCGGAACAGCGCCCCCCAGCGGGCGGAGGGCGGGCGGACCAAGGGCAGCGAGGCCAGCAGGAGGGAACCGAGCAGCAGCGCCGUCCAGCGGCCCACGGACGGGAGCAGGCGGCUGGAAACGGGGGGAAAAAGGGGGGGGGGUCAGACCCACAGCGACCCAUAGCCAGACCCAUAGAGACCCAUAGGGACACACAGAGACCCAUAGGGACCCAUAGAGACCCAUAGGGACACAUAGGAACCCAUAGAGAUCCCAUAGAGAAUCCAUAGGGACCCAUAGAGACCCAUAGAGACCCAUAGAGAUCCCAUAGAGACCCAUAGAGA